rnacentral:rRNA from 1 species
AGAAUGAACGCUGGCGGCGCGCCUAAUACAUGCAAGUCGAGCGAGAAGGCGUAGCAAUACGUUUGUAAAGCGGCGAACGGGUGAGGAAUACAUGGGUAACCUACCCUUGAGUGGGGAAUAACUAGCCGAAAGGUUAGCUAAUACCGCGUACGCUUCUUGGACUUCGGUUCAGGGAGGAAAGCGAUGCCGAGGGUAUCGCGCUCUUGGAUGGGCUCAUGUCCUAUCAGCUUGUUGGUGAGGUAACGGCUCACCAAGGCUUCGACGGGUAGCUGGUCUGAGAGGACGAUCAGCCACACUGGCACUGCGACACGGGCCAGACUCCUACGGGAGGCAGCAGUAAGGAUAUGCGCAAUGGGCGAAAGCCUGACGCAGCGACGCCGCGUGGGGAUGAAGGUCUUCGGAUUGUAAACCCCGUUUCGGAGGAAGAUGGAAUGGGUAACCCAGUUCGGACGGUACCUCCAGAAGCAGCCAGCUAACUCGUGCCAGCAGCCGCGUAA